ensembl:lincRNA
CACAAAUUCAACCACCUAAGGAACUGCUUUUUCAAGGUGUUUUACUUUGUUGUUUUCUUUGCUGUUGUUGUUACUUACGUCUCAUAGCUUCUUUCAGUUAAGGUAUUGAUGAUGAAGAGGCACUGAUGCUGUACAGGGGGCAGUUGUUUUCCAGAAUUACCUCAGAGGAAAGCACAACAGUCAGACGUGAAAUGGAAACAGAAAAAUCUUCUGAAGCAGAACAGUAAUGCUGUGAAUUUAAAAGUAAUGGGUCCCAGCAGAAGAAAAAAGCAUCCCUCCUACCUCAUUUCUCCUUUCGGAGGCUAGCAGGAAAUUAAAAAAGGAAAGGAGUUUCAUGCAGUAUUUCUGACAGCAAAUUUCUCAGAAUCCAGAGAUACUUCUUUUCUCUGUAAUAAAUUGCUGCAGAUACAAAGGAACACUUAUGAUUGAUGACUAUCUCUGUUUGCAUGAGCA